rnacentral:misc_RNA from 1 species
UCCCCGCUUUACGGGGCAGUCUCGCCAGAGAAUACAACUGGCAACAGGGGUUGCGCUCGUUGCGGGACUUAACCCAACACCUCACGACACGAGCUGACGACAGCCAUGCAGCACCUGUCCAACGGUCCCGAAGGAGGGGCUCGGUUUCUCGAGCCUUUCCCCUGGAUGUCAAGCCCAGGUAAGGUUCUUCGCGUUGCGUCGAAUUAAACCACAUGCUCCACCGCUUGUGCGGGCCCCCGUCAAUUCCUUUGAGUUUCAGCCUUGCGGCCGUACUCCCCAGGCGGGGCACUUAAUGCGUUAGCGCCGGCACCCAGGGGGUCGCUCCCCCAGGCACCUAGUGCCCAUCGUUUACGGCGUGGACUAC